rnacentral:rRNA from 1 species
UUGACCUCGGAUCAGGUGAGGAUACCCG